GCCAGUGUGGUAUAGUGGUUUGAGUGCUGGACUAUGACUUUGGAGACCAGGUUUCAAAUCCUGGCUUGGCC
rnacentral:tRNA from 1 species